rfam:Anopheles gambiae str. PEST whole genome shotgun sequencing project, whole genome shotgun sequence.
AGCAAUUUUGACAUUUGUUGAUGUAGGGCAUGAUACAGGCUCUCCCUUCCAACUCCUAUUCUGACACGUCCUCGUCGUGCAGCGUGGUAACAUGUGCCUCCAUAUAUCCUAGCAUGGGUACACGGGCUAGAUCCAACCCCUUGGGCGGAUGGUGGCAUAUGGCGAACCAGGAGGGA